rnacentral:rRNA from 1 species
AAAUCCACUCGCCUAACGAGUGGGCGUCCGGCGGAAACUACAGGGCUUGGGACCGGAAGACUUGAGGGGUACGUCUGGGGUAGGAGUGAAAUCCUGUAAUCCUGGACGGACCGCCGAUAGCGAAAGCACCUCAAGACGACGGAUCCGACAGUGAGGGACGAAAGCUAGGGUCUCGAACCGGAUUAGAUACCCGGGUAGUC